rnacentral:rRNA from 1 species
GAUGAACGCUGGCGGCGUGCCUAAUACAUGCAAGUCGAGCGAAUGGAUUAAGAGCUUGCUCUUAUGAAGUUAGCGGCGGACGGGUGAGUAACACGUGGGUAACCUGCCCAUAAGACUGGGAUAACUCCGGGAAACCGGGGCUAAUACCGGAUAACAUUUUGAACCGCAUGGUUCGAAAUUGAAAGGCGGCUUCGGCUGUCACUUAUGGAUGGACCCGCGUCGCAUUAGCUAGUUGGUGAGGUAACGGCUCACCAAGGCAACGAUGCGUAGCCGACCUGAAGGGGUGAUCGGCCACACUGGGACGGGGACACGGCCCAGACUCCUACGGGAGGCAGCAGUAGGGAAUCUUCCGCAAUGGACGAAAGUCUGACGGAGCAACGCCGCGUGAGUGAUGAAGGCUUUCGGGUCGUAAAACUCUGUUGUUAGGGAAGAACAAGUGCUAGUUGAAUAAGCUGGCACCUUGACGGUACCUAACCAGAAAGCCACGGCUAACUACGUGCCAGCCGCCGCGGUAA